rnacentral:rRNA from 1 species
GGUUCUCCCCGAAAUAGCUUUAGGGCUAGCCUCGUGACAGAUUACCGGAGGUAAAGCACUGAAUGGCCUAGCGCCCGAGAGGGUAGCGAAGCCUAUCAAACUAAGAAUGCCGGAGUAUUGAUGUAUGGGAGUCAGACAGUGUGAGAUAAAUCUCAUUGUCAAAAGGGAAACAGCCCAGAUCUACAGCUAAGGUCCCAAAUUGUAUCUAAGUGGAAAACGAUGUGGAAAUACGCAGACAACCAGGAUGUUGGCUCAGAAGCAGCCACUCAUUUAAAGAGUGCGUAAUAGCUCACUGGUCGAGAGACCCUGCGCCGAAGAUUCCCGGGGCUAAAGUACGAAACCGAAGCUGUGGCUGUAUACGUAAAGUAUACGGGGUAGGGGAGCGUUCCCAUAGGGUAGAAGUCGAACUGGAAGGUUCGGUGGACUUGUGGGAAGUGAGAAUGUUGGUAUGAGUAGCGAAAAGAAAGGUGAGAAUCCUUUCCACCGAAAGCAUAAGGAUUCCUGAGCAACGAUCGUCGUCUCAGGGUAAGUCGGGACCUAAUCCGAGGCAGAGAGCGUAGGAGAUGGACAACUGGUUGAUAUUCCAGUACCGGUAGUAAUUGUUUGAGCAAUGGAGUGACACAGAAGGGCAGGCAAGCAUGCGAAUGGAAGAGCAUGUGUAAGCGUGUAGGGUGGUGCAUAGGCAAAUCCGUGCACUGAAAGCCUGAGGCGUGAUGCGGAGUGAGCAGAGAUGCGAGCGAAGUUGUUGACCCCACACUGUCGAGAAAAGCUUCUAGUGAGAGAGCUACCGCCCGUACCGUAAACCGACACAGGUAUGCGGGGAGAGAAUCCUAAGGUGCGCGGGAGAACCCUCGUUAAGGAACUCGGCAAAAUGUACCCGUAACUUCGGGAUAAGGGUAGCCACUGUUGUGAAGUCCCAUGCGGAUGGAGCAUAGAGUGGUCGCAGAGAAGAGGCCCAAGCGACUGUUUACCAUAAACACAGGUGCCUGCUAAAGCGAAAGCUGACGUAUAGGUGCUGACACCUGCCCAGUGCCGGAAGGUUAAGGAAGGAUGUUCGGAGUAAUCCAAAGCAUUCGACUGAAGCCCCGGUGAACGGCGGCCGUAACUAUAACGGUCCUAAGGUAGCGAAAUUCCUUGUCGGGUAAG